rnacentral:misc_RNA from 1 species
CCGAGUUUUCUACUCCCAAACCCCUGUGAACUUAUACCUUUACUGUUGCUUCGGCGGGUUAACGCCCCGGAACGGCCCCCCAAGGCCUCCCGGAACCAGGCGCCCGCCGGAGGUAUCUAACUCUUGAACUUUUAUGGCCUCUCUGAGUCUUUGUACUUAAUAAGUCA